GCCAGGCACGUAGUCUCAGCUGCUUGGGAGACUGAGCUGGGAGGAUCACCUGAGCCCAGGAGUUCUGGGCUGUGUAGUGCGCUAUUUCGAUCGGGUGUCUGCACUAAGUUUGGCAUCAAUAUGGUGUCCUCCUGAAAGCGGGGGACCACCUGGUUGUCUAAGGAGGGUUGAACCGGUCCAGGUCGGACACGAAGCAGGUCAAAAUUCCACUGCUGAUCAGUAGUGGGAUAGUGCCUGUGAAUAAGCACUGGACUCCAACCUGGGCAACAUAGCCAGACCCCCUCUGUU
ensembl:misc_RNA Metazoa_SRP Metazoan signal recognition particle RNA